GCUUGCUUCUCUUGAGAGCGGCGGACGGGUGAGUAAUGCCUAGGAAUCUGCCUGGUAGUGGGGGAUAACGUUCGGAAACGGACGCUAAUACCGCAUACGUCCUACGGGAGAAAGCAGGGGACCUUCGGGCCUUGCGCUAUCAGAUGAGCCUAGGUCGGAUUAGCUAGUUGGUGGGGUAAUGGCUCACCAAGGCGACGAUCCGUAACUGGUCUGAGAGGAUGAUCAGUCACACUGGAACUGAGACACGGUCCAGACUCCUACGGGAGGCAGCAGUGGGGAAUAUUGGACAAUGGGCGAAAGCCUGAUCCAGCCAUGCCGCGUGUGUGAAGAAGGUCUUCGGAUUGUAAAGCACUUUAAGUUGGGAGGAAGGGUUGUAGAUUAAUACUCUGCAAUUUUGACGUUACCGACAGAAUAAGCACCGGCUAACUCUGUGCCAGCAGCCGCGGUAAUACAGAGGGUGCAAGCGUUAAUCGGAAUUACUGGGCGUAAAGCGCGCGUAGGUGGUUUGUUAAGUUGGAUGUGAAAUCCCCGGGCUCAACCUGGGAACUGCAUUCAAAACUGACUGACUAGAGUAUGGUAGAGGGUGGUGGAAUUUCCUGUGUAGCGGUGAAAUGCGUAGAUAUAGGAAGGAACACCAGUGGCGAAGGCGACCACCUGGACUAAUACUGACACUGAGGUGCGAAAGCGUGGGGAGCAAACAGGAUUAGAUACCCUGGUAGUCCACGCCGUAAACGAUGUCAACUAGCCGUUGGAAGCCUUGAGCUUUUAGUGGCGCAGCUAACGCAUUAAGUUGACCGCCUG
rnacentral:rRNA from 1 species